UACGAAGGGGGCUAGCGUUGUUCGGAAUUACUGGGCGUAAAGCGUGCGCAGGCGGCUUCUCAAGUCAGGGGUGAAAGCCCAGAGCUCAACUCUGGAAUUGCCUUUGAGACUGAGAGUCUUGAGUCCGGGAGAGGUGAGUGGAACUGCGAGUGUAGAGGUGAAAUUCGUAGAUAUUCGCAAGAACACCAGUGGCGAAGGCGGCGAUCUGGGAAGAUACUGACGCUGAGGUGCGAAAGCGUGGGGAGCAAACAGG
rnacentral:rRNA from 1 species